UACGGAGGGAGCUAGCGUUGUUCGGAAUUACUGGGCGUAAAGCGCGCGUAGGCGGCUUUGUAAGUUAGAGGUGAAAGCCCGGGGCUCAACCCCGGAACAGCCUUUAAGACUGCAUCGCUAGAAUCCGGGAGAGGUGAGUGGAAUUCCGAGUGUAGAGGUGAAAUUCGUAGAUAUUCGCAAGAACACCAGUGGCGAAGGCGGCUCACUGGCCCGGUACUGACGCUGAGGCACGAAAGCGUGGGGAGCAAACAGG
rnacentral:rRNA from 1 species